GGCGAUUAUACCUCGCUGCAUAGCUAAUUCAGAAAUCGAUAAUUACGUACGCGGCCUCCCGAAACGUACCAAAUUAAUAUGGCCAUUACGAACAAAUGGUUAAAUUGAUGGAUCGCUACAACAAUAAUUUGAUUUCUCCCGUGAAAUUCCCACGCUACUGAAGCCGUGCCAUGGCAAGAAUUUGCGCGAAGCUUUGUCAAAAGCUUUGAUCCGCAUUCAGGUUUGCCGGAGCCGAUUAAUAGAGUCGGUUUGAUCAACCGACAAGCCAAUGUACGUGUCUAGCUGGAUGCGGAAGGAUUAAGGCGUUUGCUACGGAAACACUGGAUCGGCAGCUUGGUGGUUAAUUGAGAAUCUCGAGAUAUUGACCGACGCGGGAUCGAUAGGCGAACGAUAUUCACGAAGACAAAGGGGCGGGCCGGACAUAUGCUGAAGUGGUCAUUUGUCUGCGAUUUACGUGAAGAUUGACGGUAACCCCGCUCGUUACUCGCUUGAUCCCCAAGUUUAACGCCACUAUCGGAGCUUAUUGCGUCACAAGGUAGAAUUUCAGCGAGACUUACACUUCAAUCUUCAGAUGGAUGCACAAAAUCCUGAAACGUAAAGUUGAAAAUGAGGGAGCAGCACUUUAAAGCACGGAAAACCUGUAUUUUCCUCAUUGAAAUUUUAAUUUUCAUAAAUUUUUCAAGGAAUAUAUCCUCGAUUGUCCUAAAAAUGUAGAAUUUUGAGAGUGAAAAAUAAACCAUUGAGAGAGAAA